rnacentral:ncRNA from 11 species
GGCGACAUGGCCGAGUGGUAAGGCAGAGGACUGCAAAUCCUUUUUUCCCCAGUUCAAAUCCGGGUGUCGCCU